CGCCAGACUCCUACGGGAGGCAGCAGUGGGGAAUAUUGCACAAUGGGGGAAACCCUGAUGCAGCGACGCCGCGUGAGUGAAGAAGUAUUUCGGUAUGUAAAGCUCUAUCAGCAGGGAAGAAAAUGACGGUACCUGACUAAGAAGCCCCGGCUAACUACGUGCCAGCAGCCGCGGUAAUACGUAGGGGGCAAGCGUUAUCCGGAUUUACUGGGUGUAAAGGGAGCGUAGACGGCAUGGCAAGUCAGAUGUGAAAGCCCGGGGCUCAACCCCGGGACUGCAUUUGAAACUGUCAGGCUGGAGUGCAGGAGAGGUAAGUGGAAUUCCUAGUGUAGCGGUGAAAUGCGUAGAUAUUAGGAGGAACUCCAGUGGCGAAGGCGGCUUACUGGACUGUAACUGACGUUGAGGCUCGAAAGCGUGGGGAGCAAACAGGAUUAGAUACCCCUGUAG
rnacentral:rRNA from 1 species